UGGAAUCACAGUUGUAUGAAGACUUUGAUAGCCAUUAGGCUUAGGGGUGGCAAUGUAGUCUUUCAUAGCACGAGGGAUAGGUGUCCAGAUUCCAUGUACUAGUCCAAGCAGAUGAUAGCAUAUCUGCUGUGCACUGCAAAGGGGCCUAACUCCGACACAAGGCUUUGGUUUUAUAAUAAUUCGAAGCUGUGCAAUUUGGUUUACUUCAUUUAUUGAACUCUUAGACUUGAGUACUGCUUUGUAGAUGCUGUAAGGUUCCUUGCAUAUUGAUUGAAUUUCCGUCUUCACAGUCACAAGUUCUAAGAAUUGGUCUUCCUCUAUUUUCUUCAUCAAUAUUCUUUUUGCCUCUUCAAGUUCCUUUUCAUGUUCUUUAUAAAGUUCUGCAAUCCUACGCUGCACCCUGGCAUAGUCUUCAGCAUUUGUAUACAUAAAUGCUAAGUUUUCAAGCUCUGACUUGAUUUGGUAUAUUCCGAGAAG
rnacentral:misc_RNA from 1 species